rnacentral:lncRNA from 10 species
AGCUGCGGACGCCUGGAGCGGCCGGCCUCCCCUUAAAAUGUCAUCUUGGAGGAAUGGUAUGGCCUGAACCCCAGCCCGAGUCGUCUUCCACAGCGCCAUCCUGCUUUGCUUUCUUCCCAGCACGUACCUCUGGAAUGAUCCGAUUUCUCACUAACUGUCCUGGCCCCCUUGAAUGGAUGGCCCAGAGAGACAAGGCCUCCUUCACAGCGGAUGCUCAGAAUUUAACUAAAUGAUUUAACGAAUAAAUUUAGGUAAAACUAAAUUUACAGUGGAGUUUUGUCUUUAGGGAUUGAGUGACAAAUUCGAAUCAUUCGCUGCUUGUUUCCCAGUCAAAACUGCCCUUGUGUCUGAGGUGUGUGAACCAGGGCAACUCCAUCUUGAAU